GGGGUGCAGCAGGCGCGAAAACUCUGCAAUAAGCGAAAGCUUGACAGGGUUAUUCUGAGUGAUUUCCGCUAAGGAAAUCUUUUGGCACUUCUAAAAAUGGUGCAGAAUAAGGGGUGGGCAAGCCUGGUGUCAGCCGCCGCGGUAAUACCAGCACCCCGAGUGGUCGGGACGAUUAUUGGGCCUAAAGCAUCCGUAGCCGGUUCUACAAGUCUUCCGUUAAAUCCAUCUGCUUAACAGAUGGGCUGCGGAGGAUACUAUGGAGCUAGGAGGCGGGAGAGGCAAGCGGUACUUAGUGGGUAGGGGUAAAAUCCGUUGAUCCACUGAAGACCACCAGUGGCGAAGGCGGCUUGCCAGAACGCGCUCGACGGUGAGGGAUGAAAGCUGGGGGAGCAAACCGGAUUAGAUACCCGGGUAGUCCCAGCUGUAAACGAUGCAGACUCGGUGAUGAAUAGGCUUCGUGCCUUUUCAGUGCCGCAGGGAAGCCGUUAAGUCUGCCGCCUGGGGAGUACGGUCGCAAGGACUGAAACUUAAAGGAAAUUGGCGGGGGAGCAC
rnacentral:rRNA from 1 species